ACUCCUACGGGAGGCAGCAGUGGGGAAUUUUGCGCAAUGGGCGAAACCCUGACGCAGCAACGCCGCGUGAGUGAUGAAGGCCUUCGGGUCGUAAACACUCUGUCAGGAGGGAAGAAAUGCGUGUUGGCUAAUA
rnacentral:rRNA from 1 species